rnacentral:rRNA from 1 species
ACGGCUACCUUGUUACGACUUCACCCCAAUUAUCGAACCCACCUUCGGCCGCGCCCCCCUUGCGGUUAGGCUACGGACUUCGGGUGUUCCCGACUCUCAUGGUGUGACGGGCGGUGUGUACAAGGCCCGGGAACGUAUUCACCGCGGCAUGCUGAUCCGCGAUUACUAGCGAUUCCGACUUCACGCAGUCGAGUUGCAGACUGCGAUCUGAACUGGGACGGCUUUUAGGGGUUCGCUCCACCUCACGGUAUUGCAUCCCUCUGUUGACCGCCAUUGUAUUACGUGUGUAGCCCAGGACAUAAGGGGCAUGAUGAUUUGACGUCGUCCCCACCUUCCUCCGUUUUGUCAACGGCAGUCUCGCUAGAGUGCUCUUGCGUAGCAACUAACAAUAAGGGUUGCGCUCGUUGCGGGACUUAACCCAACAUCUCACGACACGAGCUGACGACAACCAUGCACCACCUGUCUCUGCUUUCCCCGAAGGGCACCUGACGUAUCUCUACCUCGUUAGCAGGAUGUCAAGCCCUGGUAAGGUUCUUCGCGUUGCUUCGAAUUAAACCACAUAAUCCACCGCUUGUGCGGGCCCCCGUCAAUUCCUUUGAGUUUCAACCUUGCGAUCG